UUGACCUAGUCCGGAGCGCUCGACUCGGAGCAACGCUGAGGCCACACGCACCGAUGUUCGAGCGUCGGAAAUGAUUCGGAUGAUUUUUUCGGAGACUUGCAGUUCUGCGGCUAAUCGAUUUUUCGCUUCCAAUGCAUAAGCAGUAUCGGCGUCCGAUACUUCGACGACCAUGAACUCGUAUUCCGGCUUAAAUCUACAUCGUUAUAGUGAAAAUAUAUCUGAAGAUUUUGUGAGGGCUUUUUACGCACUGGGUGGUCGGUUUCUUUCGUCCCCCGUUCGCAGUUCAGGCGACAGCCACUGCUUUACACAUCAAAACGCUCUUUGGUUUUUCGAUCUCAAACCAAUCCCCGGAAAUCUUGGGGGUUCC